rnacentral:rRNA from 1 species
GACGAACGCUGGCGGCGUGCUUAACACAUGCAAGUCGAACGGAAAGGCCCUGCUUUUGUGGGGUGCUCGAGUGGCGAACGGGUGAGUAACACGUGAGUAACCUGCCCUUGACUUUGGGAUAACUUCGGGAAACUGGGGCUAAUACCGGAUAGGAGCUCCUGCUGCAUGGUGGGGGUUGGAAAGUUUCGGCGGUUGGGGAUGGACUCGCGGCUUAUCAGCUUGUUGGUGGGGUAGUGGCUUACCAAGGCUUUGACGGGUAGCCGGCCUGAGAGGGUGACCGGCCACAUUGGGACUGAGAUACGGCCCAGACUCCUACGGGAGGCAGAAGUGGGGAAUAUUGCACAAUGGGCGGAAGCCUGAUGCAGCAACGCCGCGUGCGGGAUGACGGCCUUCGGGUUGUAAACCGCUUUCGCCUGUGACGAAGCGUGAGUGACGGUAAUGGGUAAAGAAGCACCGGCUAACUACGUG